UACGUAGGGGGCAAGCGUUAUCCGGAUUUACUGGGUGUAAAGGGUGCGUAGACGGUAUGGCAAGUCUGAAGUGAAAGGCGUGGGCUCAACCCAUGGACUGCUUUGGAAACUGUCAGACUAGAGUACAGGAGGGGUAAGCGGAAUUCCCAGUGUAGCGGUGAAAUGCUUAGAUAUUGGGAGGAACACCGGCGGCGAAGGCGGCUUACUGGACUGUAACUGACGUUGAGGCACGAAAGCGUGGGGAGCAAAC
rnacentral:rRNA from 1 species